ensembl:lncRNA
UAUUACUUCUUUAAACUUCAUAAAAAAGGAAAAAGAAAAAAAAAAUAAACAGAUUGUUUUAUUUGGUUUAGCUUUACCUUUUCCCCACCUUUGUUUUAUUCCAUGUUUGUUAACUAUAUAUAAUAUUCCGUUUCUCUUAGCACAAAAUGACAAAAGCACAUUUGUUUUUUUUUCCUUCCCAUCAAACGAACAUAUUACUCCUCAUAUAGUAACAAUAAUGCUUUGUUUUAUCUCCUUUAUAAAUAUAUUUACUCUACUCUUUUUUUUAUUUUUUUUUUUUGAGCAUACUGUUUGUAUUUUUUCAAAAAAAAAAAAUAGCCUCUUUCCUCCUUUUCACGAAAUCCAACACAUCAGUAAAAACGAUGGUAAGUAUACAAAAUCAUUCUGUUUAAACUUUGAAAGGAAAAAAAUUAGUAGUAAUAACAAUAAUAAUAAAAAAAAAAAAAAUGCAUGUUAUUGUUAUAAUUAUUAUAUAAGAAAAAGCAUAUAUGAUGAUAACAAAAAAAAAAGAAAAAUAUAUAUUAGUAACAAACUUUUUGCAGAAAGUAAUUUCUUUAAUCCUAAAAGAUUUAAAAAUUUAUUUCCCGAUGCUAGUAUUACUAAAAGUGGUAAAAGAAAAAAUGAUGAUGAUGGUUGUCUCGAAUUAGAACAAGUUGAAAAUUUGAAAGAGAUAAAUCCGUAUUUAUAUAAACGACUUCUCGAGUAUUAUAAGUCAGAGAAGGGGGAGGGGGUAGAGGCAUUAUCGGCAUCGGUAUCGGUAUCAGAAGGAGAAGAAACAAAAGAAACUGCACAUACAAUAGAAUUAGAUGAAGCCAAAAAUGUGAAAGACCACACGGAUGAAACAAGCGAUAACAACAUGGAGAGUACUGACCAGCAAAACAUCCCGCUCUAUGAAGGGCUACCCCUUUUAAUGCUCGAUGGGAACCAAUUCCAAGGAUUUGCUGAUAGUAGAAAAAUUAAAAUAAACCCCAAAAUUGCAACUCCUUUCGAUAAUGAAGAAUAUAAGGAAUUUAAAAAAAAUAAUAAUAGUAAUAGUAAUAGUAAUAAUAAUCAUAACGACAGUGUUUCCAACGUUGGUAAUAGUGGCAGUAGCAGCAAUAGUGGAAAUAGUGGUAAGCUCAUGUUAAACGAUAAAACAUAUUAUACGAAGAACAAUAGUAAUCACGAAACAAACAUAAACAAUGUAAAUAACUUGUCGCAUAAACAAAAACAUUUAGAUGAAUUUGAGCAGGGGGUUAAUUAUAUGCUAAAUAACCCGGUCGGAAAUAUUUCAAGAAAUAAUAUAAAUAAAACCGAUUUGAAAAAAACAGAUAUGACAUCAAGUGAAACUAAACCAAAUACAAUAUCUGAACAGAAUACACAAACAAGUAAUGACAAUCUAAAAAAGUAUACUACUAGGCAGGAAAUGAUUAAUAAGUACAAAAGAGUUGGGAAACAUCAAUAUAUCGAGUCGAAACUAGGUGAAAUAUUAUUUGACAGGGACUACCCAGGAUAUAUUUAUUUAAAUCAUGGUGAAAAUUUAAAAGAGUUAGAUGAAAAAAGCGAACAUAAUUCACAAUUUCCUCAAUAUAUAAACCCGUCUAAUAUAUAUUUGCGAACUGGGCGUAAAAGAGAACAUCAUAAAAAAAAAGACAGUGGCAUUAAACAAAAAAAAAGGUGGUGUAGUAGCAAUAUGAGUGAUAAAAAGGAUAUAAAAAGAGGGAACUGGGAAUAUCAUGAUGAUACAGUUAAAGAUUUACUCGAUUCUAUAGAUCAAGAAAAAUUAGAAGAAAAUUACUACUCAAAUAAUUUUUAUCAAAGAACUAAUUAUAAUACAGGUUAUGGUAAUUUAGAAAAGGUUGAGAACAAUUAUUUUGAUGUACAAUUUAUGGGCUCUGUUGAAACAUAUCCUGCUAAUAUAUCUGUAGGUAUGAAUUUUAUUUGGCCUAUCAAUUUUAUUCCUUUAUUAUGUAAGCAAUAUACCAAAAGAUUAGGACAGCCAAUUAAAUCUCCAAUUUUUAACUUAGGUGGGUUUGAUUCUUUACAACUGUGGUUUUAUCCAGAUGGUAUGAAUAAUUCGAUUGAUGGUUAUUGUGCGUUGAAACUUGUUAUGAGACCUGGUUUGUUUUUACCUGUAAAAAUUUUUAUGUUCGCAUUCAGUGAAUAUAAUUAUAUUCAUACUAUACCUUUUUUUAAAGAUUCAAGUGAGUAUGUAAUAUCUUCAACCAACUUAUGUAAAUUAUUAUUAAAAACGAAGGAAAACCUUGCUAACAUAAAAAAUAAUAAUGAUUAUAUUAUAUUAGGCCCAGCAGGAAAUGUUUAUAUAGGGGUUGGUAUCUUUGAUGAUGUUUAUGAUUUUGAAACAGAUUUAAAACAGUUUUUUUCAUUAAGCGAUAAAUAUAAAAAGAAGGUUGACAACAAUAAUGUGAAAAACGGAGACAUUGAUAAGAACACUGACAGUAAUAAGCAAUUCAAAUACAAAUACGAUUGGGAUGAAGGAGUUCACAUAUUUGAUAACUGGCUAAAAAAACAAACAGCCAUAACAGAUGAUAAAGACGAAUUGUUACCUGUUGAUUAUACUCAUUCGGAGUUGUAUGAAAAUUAUAAAUACAAGUAUGUACCCGAAAAAAACCCUUUUAAGUUUUUAAAAAAAAAAAAAGAUCAAAAUUCAUGGAACAGGCACCCCUUUUAAGUCCGAAACAUAGGAGUGAUGGGACUGGGUGCAUACGUACGUACGUACGUACAUAAAUACAUACUUAUGCAUGUGUCGAGCCUUACAAUUAUG